rnacentral:lncRNA from 1 species
CACCUCCAUCCUGCUAAGUGGGUGGAUUUGGCCCAACAUCCAGCUGGCUGAGUGCUAUGGACUGAAGCUAAAGCACAUGAAGUCAGAUGAGAUCCACUGGCUGCACCCCCAGAUGAAGGUGGGUGAGGUGCAGGACAAGUAUGAAUGUCUACACGUGGAGGCUGAGUGGAAGUAUGACCUUCAAAUCCGCUACUUGCCGGAAGACUUCAUGGAGAGCCUGAA